rnacentral:rRNA from 1 species
UACGUAGGGGGCAAGCGUUGUCCGGAAUCAUUGGGCGUAAAGCGCGCGCAGGCGGCUCUUUAAGUCUGACGGUGAAAUGCCGGGGCUCAACCCCGUGCCCGCCGCGGAUAUUGGAGGGCUGGAGACACGUAGAGGCAAGCGGAAUUCCGGGUGUAGCGGUGGAAUGCGUAGAGAUCCGGAAGAACACCGGAGGCGAAGGCGGCUUGCUGGGCGUAGUCUGACGCUGAGGCGCGAAAGCGUGGGGAGCGAUCCGG